UUUUCAUUUCAUGAAUUUGUAUAAACAUUGGCAUUUCAUUUACCUACAUCAGAAAUUACUUUUAUAUAUUUCAUAACUUUUUAUGAUAUAAAUAAAAAGUGAUUGAGAUUAUAAACGUAAAUCAUCCAUAUACUCAGUUUGGAAUUGAAAAUGUACACGCGAUAAGUGGAAAACAAAAUGUACGCAACUAUUGGAAAUAUCAUAUUGGUUUUGAUCGGAUUACACCUGGACUCCACUGACGCUGCAGGGGUACUCGAUAUGGUCACAUUAAAAUCUGCCACCCUACCAAAAUUUAAAUAUAAUUUCAAGGGUAUGAUGCCGAAAGAAAUUUUAAUAUUCAGGAAUGAUAACAAGACCGAUACCGAUACCGAUACGAAGAAAGUGAAACGAGAAAUCCCACAAGACGAUUUCACAUUAAAGAACUAUUUUACAAAGGACAAGAAUCCAUCUUUUGUACUGAUGUUCAAAAGUCGACAGUUUCCCCUGAACGGUGAUGACUCUAGAAGAUCUGAUUAAAGUUUAUCGUAACGUGA